UACGUAGGGGGCAAGCGUUGUCCGGAUUCAUUGGGCGUAAAGAGCUCGUAGGCGGCUUGGCAAGUCGGGUGUGAAAACUCCAGGCUCAACCUGGAGACGCCACCCGAUACUGCCAUGGCUAGAGUCCGGUAGGGGACCACGGAAUUCCUGGUGUAGCGGUGAAAUGCGUAGAUAUCUGGAGGAACACCGGUGGCGAAGGCGGCAUCCUGGACCGGCAUUGACGCUGAGGCGCGAAAGCCAGGGGAGCAAAGCGGG
rnacentral:rRNA from 1 species